rnacentral:tRNA from 1 species
UGGGGCGUAGCUCAACUGGCAGAGCCACCGCCUUUGAAGCGGUUGGUUGAAGGUUCGAGCCCUUCCGCCCCAG